rnacentral:rRNA from 1 species
AUACGGGAGGCAGCAGUGGGGAAUAUUGGACAAUGGGCGCAAGCCUGAUCCAGCAAUGCCGCGUGAGUGAUGAAGGCCUUAGGGUUGUAAAGCUCUUUCGGCGGGGACGAUGAUGACGGUACCCGCAGAAGAAGCCCCGGCUAACUUCGUGCCAGCAGCCGCGGUAAUACGAAGGGGGCAAGCGUUGUUCGGAAUUACUGGGCGUAAAGGGCGCGCAGGCGGCCAAGUAAGUCAGAUGUGAAAGCCCCGGGCUCAACCUGGGAAUAGCAUUUGGGACUGUUUGGCUAGAGAUCGGGAGAGGAGAGUGGAAUUCCCAGUGUAGAGGUGAAAUUCGUAGAUAUUGGGAAGAACACCGGUGGCGAAGGCGGCUCUCUGGACCGAUACUGACGCUGAGGCGCGAAAGCGUGGGGAGCAAACAGGAUUAGAUACCCCGGU